AACGAACGCUGGCGGCGUGUUUAAGACAUGCAAGUCGCACGGGAUAAGACAUGUAGUAAUACUUGUUUUAUUUAGUGGCGCACGGGUGAGUAACACGUGAAUUACAUGCCCUAUAGUGGGGAAUAGCCCAGGGAAACUUGGAUUAAUACCCCAUGGUAUCGAAAGAUUAUAGGUGGCCGCAAGGCUGUCGCUAUAGGAUUGGUUCGCGCCCUAUCAGCUUGUUGGUGAGGUAACGGCUCACCAAGGCAAUGACGGGUACCUGGUCUGAGAGGACGAUCAGGCACACUGGAACUGAGACACGGUCCAGACACCUACGGGUGGCAGCAGUCGAGAAUAAUUCACAAUGGGGGAAACCCUGAUGGGGCAACGCCGCGUGGAGGAUGACGGUCUUCGGAUUGUAAACUCCUGUCAUCUGGGAGAAAGACCUGACGGUAAAUAGCCGGCAGGGUUGAUAGUACCAGAAAAGGAAGGGACGGCUAACUUCGUGCCAGCCGCCGCCGUAA
rnacentral:rRNA from 1 species